UGCGGCACAUUAGUUAGUUGGUAAGGUAACGGCUUACCAAGACUAUGAUGUGUAGCUGGACUGAGAGGUUGAACGGCCACAUUGGGAUUGAGAUACGGCCCAAACUCCUACGGGAGGCAGCAGUAAGGAAUUUUCGGCAAUGGAGGAAACUCUGACCGAGCAACGCCGCGUGAACGAUGAAAUAUUUAGGUAUGUAAAGUUCUUUUAUUAAAGAAGAAAAAAUGAUGGAAAAAUCAUUCUGACGGUAUUUAAUGAAUAAGCCCCGGCUAACUAUGUGCCAGCAGCUGCGGUAAUACAUGGGGGGCAAGCGUUAUCCGGAUUUAUUGGGCGUAAAGGGUGUGUAGGCGGUUUAAUAAGUCUAUGGUAUAAGUUCAACGCUUAACGUUGUGAUGCUAUGGAAACUGUUUGACUAGAGUUGGAUAGAGGCAAGUGGAAUUCCAUGUGUAGCGGUAAAAUGCGUAAAUAUAUGGAGGAACACCAGUAGCGAAGGCGGCUUGCUGGGUCUUAACUGACGCUGAGGCACGAAAGCGUGGGGAGCAAACAGGAUUAGAUACCCUGGUAGUCCACGCCGUAAACGAUGAGUACUAAGUGUUGGGUUAAACCAGUGCUGAAGUUAACACAUUAAGUACUCCGCCUGAGUAGUACGUACGCAAGUAUGAAACUUAAAGGAAUUGACGGGACUCCGCACAAGCGGUGGAUCAUGUUGUUUAAUUCGAAGAUACACGAAAAACCUUACCAGGUCUUGACAUACUCUGCAAAGCUAUAGAAAUAUAGUGGAGGUUAUCAGGGAUACAGGUGGUGCAUGGUUGUCGUCAGCUCGUGUCGUGAGAUGUUGGGUUAAGUCCCGCAACGAGCGCAACCCUUAUCGCUAGUUACCAUCAUUUAGUUGGGCACUUUAGUGAGACUGCCAAUGAUAAAUUGGAGGAAGGUGGGGAUUACGUCAAAUCAUCAUGCCCCUUAUGACCUGGGCUACAAACGUGAUACAAUGGCUGUUACAAAGAGUAGCUGAAGCGUGAGUUUUAGCAAUCUCAAAAAACAGUCUCAGUUCGGAUUGAAGUCUGCACUCGACUUCAUGAAGUCGGAAUCGCUAGUAAU
rnacentral:rRNA from 1 species